AUUGAACGCUGGCGGCAUGCCUUACACAUGCAAGUCGAACGGCAGCACGGGGGCAACCCUGGUGGCGAGUGGCGAACGGGUGAGUAAUGCAUCGGAACGUGCCCAGUAGUGGGGGAUAACCAGUCGAAAGAUUGGCUAAUACCGCAUACGACCUACGGGUGAAAGCGGGGGACCGUAAGGCCUCGCGCUAUUGGAGCGGCCGAUGUCUGAUUAGCUAGUUGGCGGGGUAAGAGCCCACCAAGGCGACGAUCAGUAGCUGGUCUGAGAGGACGACCAGCCACACUGGGACUGAGACACGGCCCAGACUCCUACGGGAGGCAGCAGUGGGGAAUUUUGGACAAUGGGCGCAAGCCUGAUCCAGCCAUGCCGCGUGCGGGAAGAAGGCCUUCGGGUUGUAAACCGCUUUUGGCAGGAACGAAACGGCGACCUCUAAUACGGGUCGUUAAUGACGGUACCUGCAGAAUAAGCACCGGCUAACUACGUGCCAGCAGCCGCGGUAAAAC
rnacentral:rRNA from 1 species